ACUACCAUGAAGAACAUAGCCAGUUGAUGCUGUGCUUUUCAUCAGCAGCUGGUGCUUAUUCUACACAUCCUGUCGUCUACAAUGUUGUUCUGUUCACUAUUACUCUUCUUUGACUUGAUAGGUGUCAGUUCUGAACAGUUAUUAACACCCUACACUGAUGUAGAAGUGGCUUCAGAAAGGGACAGAGUUACUCUCUCUUGUAACUACACUUCUGGUGACACUCUUCAAUGGUAUCGACAAUAUUCUAAAUCAGCACCACAGUUCCUGCUUAAUGAGUAUAUGGAUAAUACACCAGGGUUCACUCUAAAUAAUGAAAAAAAUGCUAAACGUGUGGAUCUGGUGAUAUCCUCUGCUCAUGUGACAGACUCUGCUCUGUACUACUGCGCUCUGAGGGCCACAGUGACAGGAAACCCAGAAACACUGUACAAAAACCUAUAACAUCUGACUGAGGGGAGAAAGUUAUCAACAGGCACAUGAAUGAAUUUGUCCAAAACACUAAGUCCUAGAUUCAAUCAGAUCAAGCACUUGCGGUGUCGGAGGUGUAACUGCGUUGGACCUGUCAAAUUGGUGAGCAGCUGCUCUUGAUCAUUGUCACAAAGCCUAAUCUGGUCUCAGAGCAUUUUCAUAAUAUUAGGUUAUGAAUUACAAUUCUAACCCUAACCCUGUCUUUGGCAAUAGGUGGAGCUACAACAUUUUCUCCAAUCAUCAAGGCUGAAACAUUGCUACAGGGAGAGAUAUUCAAUUCUGCCUGUAUUGUUUGACGGCUCUCACACAGUUCCACCUCUGGCACCGCCAAAACAACAACUAUGCGGAUGUUGGCUAAAGUGGAUCUGACUGAAAAGAGCCCUGAAUAGAGCCCUUCUGUCCUAGCCAGAACCCUAGCCCUAAUACUAACCCGAGCUUCAUGUCCACACCCCAGAUCAAUCCUAACCUUAGCCAUAACCCUAAACCUAACCGUAACCCUAGCGUCAUGUCUACAUCCCGGAUCAACCCUAACCUUAACCCUAACCCUAACCAUAACCUAAACCCUAACCCUAGUUUCAUGUUCACACCCCGGAUUAACCCUAACCAUAACCAUAGCCAUAACAAUAACCCUCAAUUCAUGUCUAGAUUCAUGUCUAGAUCAAUAUUAAUUUCAAAACGUUUUUCUUCAUAAUACAGUACAACAUAUAUGGAGUGGUAUUGUUAAAAAUAAAUGCUUCAAUCCUACGAUGUACAUUAAACAAGGAUUGUAUGGCACACAAACACACCACAUCACCACCCUGGUCUUUGGCAGUAGGUGGAGCUACAACAUUUUCUCAAAUCAGCAAGACUGAACAAUUGCUGCAGAGAGAGAUAUUCAACUCUGCCUGUGUUGUGUCAGAGUCGUUUUGAUACUGUAUAUAUUAACUACGUUGCUGGUUUCAUCAGUUCUCCUCCUCUCAGUCCUUGUUGGUGAGUGCUGGAUUCAAUUUGACAGUUUUAAUUUAAACACCAGAAUGUAUUUCAAAGUUGUCAAAAAUACAAUUAUACUUCAGAUUUUUAAAUUGUAUUAAAUUGAUUGGACAGACCUACUCAUGCAAGGGUUUUUCUAUGUUUUUUACAAUUUUCUACAUUGUAGAAUAAUAGUGAAAACAUAAAAUAUGAAAUAACACAUAUGGAAUCAUGUAGUAACUGAAAAAAGUGUUAAACAAAUCAAAAUAUAUUUUCAAAAUAUCUUUGAGAUUCUUCAAAGUAGCCACUAUUUGCCUUGAGGACACCUUUGCACACUCUUGGCAUUCUCUCAACCAGCUUCAUGAGGUAGUCACCUGGAAUGCAUUUCAAUUAACAGGUGUGCCUUGUUAAAAGUAAAAAUAAAAUAAAAAAGUAUUUCCUUCUUAAUGCGCUUGAGCCAAUCAGUUGUGUUGUGACAAGGUAGGGGUGGUAUAUAGAACAUAGCCCCAUUUGGUAAAAGACCAAGUCCAUAUUAUGGCAAGAACAUAUGAUUGUGGAGGCCAGAUGACCUGGCCUCCACAAUCACUUGACCUCAACCCAAUUGAGAUGGUUUGGGAUGAGUUGGCCCGCAGAGUGAAGGAAAAGCAGCCAACAAGUGCUUAGCAUAUGUGGGAACUCCUUCAAGGAUGCUGGAAAAACAUUCCAAGUGAAGCUGGUUGAUAGAAUGCCAAGAAUGUGCAAAGCUGUCAUCAAGGCAAAAGGUGGCUAGAUUGAAGAAUCUAAAAUCUAAAAUCUAUCAAAGAUACUGUACUAGUCUGAAUAAAUACAGAAUGAAGAACAUUUGUUGUGUUGUUUUGCUUCCUUAUAGCAAAACUUUUUCACUCGGGCCCCCCCAUCAAGCAUCAUGGAACACCCCCCCAUCUAGUCAUUGCGGAAAACCCUGCUUCGCAGAGAUAGGAGGUUGGAAAUGGAAGCAACGUUUUCAGUGCUUUUGUGGCUAUCACAGGAUAUUCAGCCUUGAUUUUAAUCCAGAAGGUCGGCAGAGAUGACAUUAUCUCAAAAAUACUUUUAAGGCCACCAUCAUUUGCAACCUCAAGGAGUUGAUCUUCUUCCUGCAUAGACAUGGACGAUUCACCUGGGACAUUCACAAAUGGGUUGCGGAUCCAUUCCUUCGCACUUCGUGGGUCUUUGGAAGUAACGCUUGAACUCCGUUGACAGCGAAGCUAGGUGAUCGCGCGUGAGCUGGGAGAAAGACGGCCCAGUCUCAGUCUCUCCAAAAAUUCCUGCUAAUGUUUGGAACAUGUCAAAUAUGCCCCUGUCCACUCGCCGUCCCCACAGUUCCAGCUUGGCUUUGAAUGCAGCCACUUUAUCUGCGAACUUAAAGACAGUUGUCAUUCUCCCCUGAGUGACAGAUUGAGUUCGUUGAGCAGGUUGAAUAUGUUGCACAGGUAAGCGAGUUUUGGAACCCAUUCCUCGUCAUUGACAUGUGCUGCCAGUGGUGACUUUUUUUCUGAAAAAAAUCUCUGCAUCCGCUCUCGUAACUCAAACUCUCUGGCAAGCGAUCUCCGCCUGGAUAGCCAUCUGACUUCUGUGUGUAAGAGAAGGAGUUUGUGCUCUGCGUCCAUUUCUUCACAAAGCUGCCCAAUCAGACGCGAGUUAAGGGCGUGUGCUUUGAUGUGAUUGAUAACUUUAAUAACAUCAUUCAAAACGACAUGAAAUUCAGGUGACAUUUUUCGGCUAGCCAGCAUUUCUCUGUGAAUGACACAGUGCGUAGACUCACAUUCAGGCACAACCUCUUUAACCCGGGUAGUGAAACCAGACAGCCGUCCAGUCAUGGCAGCAGCCCCAUCCAUGCAUAUGCCAACACAGAAUGACCAAUACAAUUUUCCUGACAUGUAAUCAUCCAAAGACUUGAAUAGUUCUGCAGCCGUUGUGUUUGUCGCAGGGACUGUGAACACAACGUAUCCUCAUGCACAUAAUCCUGAAAUAUAUAUUGCACAUAAACAAGCAGUAUUUUCUUUUGUAGACAUCGGUAGUGUCACGACUUCUCGCGAAGUCGGUUCCUCUCCUUGUUCGGGCGGCGUUCGGCGGUCGACGUCAUUGGUGUUCUAGCCAUCGCCAAUCCACCUUUCAUUUUCCAUUUGUUUUGUCUUGUUUUCCCACACACCUGGUUUACAUUCCCUCAUUACUUGUCGUGUAUAUACCCCUCUGUUCCCCCCAUGUCUGUGUGUGAAAUUGUUUGUUGUAAGUGCUUGUGCACUCUGACUGGUUCGCGACGGGUUAUUUGUACCCAUAUUUUGUUGUUCUGGGUGACGUUUGGUUUUGCGUAUUAAACUGCUCCGGUUAUUACCCAGUUCUGCUCUCCUGCGCCUGACUUCCCUGCAGCCAGUCACGCACCUCUUACAGGUAGAUUCGUCAAUCUGGAUUGCAUACCACAGUGACUGGUUAAGCCUCUCUAACAAUUGUGCCUCAACGUCCUCCGUUAUUCCAUCAAUUUGCCUAGUAACGGUGGUAGCCAAAAGAGGAACCUGUGCUAUCUUUUUAGCGGCAGCCUCUCCUAAGAGUUCAAGGCAAAUGUCCUUAGCAGCAGGUAGAAUCAACUCCUCGCCAAUAGUGAAAGACUUCUUAGCCUUAGCAAUACUGCUAGCCACUAAGUAUGACACUCAGUGCAGCCAUGUUUGUUGGAUUUCAAGAGUUGCUUCUGUCCUUCUUGUUCACGUUUUCUUCACUCAAAAAAUUCAACAGGUUUGUCUUUAAGUGCAGGGUGGUUGGAUUCGAUGUGCCGAAGCAGUUUUGAGGGCUUCAUUGCCUCGUUUGAUAGCUUAUCUCCACAUACUAUGCACAGGGGCUUGGAGCAUGCGAGUCACCUGUCGCAAUAAAGCCAUAUUUUAGGUAGGACUCAUCAUAUUGUCUAUUGAAUGAGGCUUUCUUUUUUUUAAGUCUCAGGCUCUGCCGUCUCUGCAUUAUCGACAUCGUCAUUGGGCCUUUUAUCUCCCUUUCCUUCCGAAGAAGCUCUCCAGCGACAUUUGUUUGUUUUUAUUCAUAUCAGUUAACGUAGCUAGCAAGUACAAAGUUGGCGGGCAAAACAGUUCAUGCAGACCGUGAUGAACACGCGGCGAGCGCAUUACUCAAGUUCCAAAUCUGUAAACUGUUGUGGGCGUGACAGAGAUAUUAGACUGUUGAGAAAAGGACCACCAGACUGCACCAAGUUCAAAGUAAUAACUGCACAAAUAGCCUAUACUUGUACAGAAUUAUUAUUUAUUUUACAGAUUAAAGAAAUACAAAAUAAAUGAUUUAUCCUUUCCGUGCGGCCCAGGAGCAAAUGGGCCUGGCAGUCAUGAGCUAAAAUCUCUAUUCAGAUCUACAGCAAAAUCAUGAAGAUGACAUUUAGCAGCAAUCCAACCCAGAAAGACAGUUGAACUCAAAUACACAACAAACUAUACUGUAGA
rnacentral:lncRNA from 8 species